AGUGAACGCUGGCGGUAGGCCUAACACAUGCAAGUCGAACGGCAGCACAGUAAGAGCUUGCUCUUACGGGUGGCGAGUGGCGGACGGGUGAGGAAUACAUCGGAAUCUACUUUUUCGUGGGGGAUAACGUAGGGAAACUUACGCUAAUACCGCUUACGACCUACGGGUGAAAGCAGGGGAUCUUCGGACCUUGCGCGAUUGAAUGAGCCGAUGUCGGAUUAGCUAGUUGGCGGGGUAAAGGCCCACCAAGGCGACGAUCCGUAGCUGGUCUGAGAGGAUGAUCAGCCACACUGGAACUGAGACACGGUCCAGACUCCUACGGGAGGCAGCAGUGGGGAAUAUUGGACAAUGGGCGCAAGCCUGAUCCAGCCAUACCGCGUGGGUGAAGAAGGCCUUCGGGUUGUAAAGCCCUUUUGUUGGGAAAGAAAAGCAGCAGGUUAAUACCCCGCUGUUCUGACGGUACCCAAAGAAUAAGCACCGGCUAACUUCGCG
rnacentral:rRNA from 1 species